rnacentral:pre_miRNA from 1 species
AGGAGGAACAGCCCCAGUGGCGGGGCAGCUCUGGAAACCUGGAUUCAGCCCCCGCAGGAACUCCGGAGCUCUCCGUCUGCAGGGCCUGGAGGCUCCGGGGCAGG